rnacentral:misc_RNA from 1 species
GCUCGAUUGGUACGACAGGAAGCUUUGUGGAGUGACAUUUUUUUGCUCGCUUUGCCGUUUAAUCAAUACGCCUGGCUUAUCAACCAUCAAACCGUAGUAGUCGUCGAUGGAGACGAGGUACAUCGAUCAUUGGUAGACCAACAUCGGUACUGGAUACUGCAGCUCUCCUUUUUGGCUACUCCGUCCAGCGACCUUUUGCUCCCUUUUUCUUCAUCUCCUCUCCUUUUUUUCACCCUUUUACACCCGACCCGCGCCUCUGCUCACCUCGCUCGACGAAACUUUGACGAGAUUUUGGCCAGGGGCCACUCGUAGAAUGACGAUGAUGAUAUGAUAAAAU